rnacentral:rRNA from 1 species
UACGUAGGGGGCGAGCGUUGUCCGGAAUGACUGGGCGUAAAGGGAGUGUAGGCGGCUUAGCAAGUUAGAUGUGAAAUGCCACGGCUUAACCGUGGAACUGCAUCUAAAACUGUUGGGCUGGAGUGCAGGAGAGGUGAGUGGAAUUCCUAGUGUAGCGGUGGAAUGCGUAGAUAUUAGGAGGAACACCAGAGGCGAAGGCGACUCACUGGACUGUAACUGACGCUGAGGCUCGAAAGCGUGGGGAGCAA